UACAUACGUGAUAGUUAGAAGCUUGAGAUUGUGUGUAUCAAGGUACAUGGUAGUAGAGCGAAAGAGAGUCAAAAGGUGUUGCUUGGAAAUCACAGAAGUAAAGCAAUUAAGCAUCUUCCACACAACAAUCAUAAGUUGCAAUCUAAAAUGAUACAAUCCAAAAACCCGUUCAUGGUUUUGUUUAUAGCGAGGUGGUGGAGGAAAUAAGAUACGGCCCCGUCGUUGGUCAUGAUAAUGGGUGGUGUGGUGAGGCCGGUGGCGAGCUCCUUACUGUUAGAAGGCCAAUAAGUCAGAGUAGACGGCGGAGGAGGGUCAGUGAACGUGUAGAACUUCUUCGUGACAUUAACUUGUAGCAGCAAAAAAAUGGAAAACACAGAAGAGAAGGAGAUAAGAUUGACUUUUUCAUCAAUAUGUAAUAUUGACCGUAGAUGAAUAAAGUAGAAAGGUUAAUCCAAGGGCUGAAAAAGGACACAGAUAUCAGUCUUGUCAAUAAAAAGCAUAUUAAAUCUGGGCCGUCUAUGAGGCAUGAAGAUCAACGGUUGAGGUCAUCUCCCGCUAAUAACAACAUUUAGUUAGCAUGUGAAUUAGUUAAGAGAUAACUAGUUAGUUAGGUAAAAAGGAAGUUGUUACUAGAAACUGUGUGAAGAGCAAAAACUGUCUUUUUAUGAUAUAAAAAAGACAAAACUGCCUUAUGGUGUAAUUCUCUUUAAAAAAUACUUAGUGUAUGCUUUAAAUGUCAUUUUAGAAUAACUAACUAUGUACUUUUUAUUUGUGAAUGUCAUUGAAUUAAUAUUACAUUUGUUUAUACAUCCAAUAAUAUAUUCCAAAAAUAAUAUAUACACGAUAUCACAAAUAAUAUUUAAAAAAAUGAUAUAUACAUGAUAAUAAUUUGUGAAAUCACAAAAUAUUUCAUCGGCUAUUAUAGUUUAGAGUAAUUCGUCCUGUAUAUUAUUUAACGCCAAACGUCCAAAAUUUAGAAAUAAAUAACUAGGCAGUUUCACUAUUAAAAAAAAGUUCAAAGACAUUAUGAACAAAUAAAUUAAAUGAUUCAGAUAAAUUAAAAUAGCUAGCCACACCACAUAUAUAUAUAUAUAUAUAUAUAUAUAUAAUUGAAAUGUCUUGUAAGUCAAGUUUAAAUGAUUGUUCAAUUUUUUGUAUAUCAUUAUCUAUAAGAUACACAAAUAGCAAAAACCUAUUAACUACACAUUUUGUUUUGUUUAUAGUUAUAUACUUUAUAACAUGCUAGCACAAAGUUCUAAGAAAUUAUGAAUAACUUUCAGUUAAAUGAUCGGUUAGAUUCAAACAGUACACACCACAUAUUUAUAUAACUGAUAUGAUUUGUCAGUCAAGUCUACAUGAUUAUUCAUAUUUUGUGUAUUAAAAUUAUCUAUAAGAUAUUCAAAUAAAAAAACUGCUAGCAACUAAUUUUAUUGUUAGUUAUCUAUAACAUGCAAACAAUUUUUUUUUAAAACAAAUUAAAACAGAUUAUUUUUUAAUAUCUGUAAAAUGAUUUAUCUGUUUUUACAAACGAUAUAGCUUUCUAAAUGUUUGAUUAUGAAAAAAGUAACUACAAUUUUUUUUAUAUCUAAAAUUGUUUUUAACAUUAACUUUAAAAUGAAAUUAUAUUACAUUUUUUGUAUAUCAUUAUCAAUACAAUAUGCACCUAAUGAAAGUUACAAAUUGUAUUUUUUUAUCUUUAUUCAUCUAUAUAAUAUAUAAGGAAAUUUUCAAGUCUCUUCUUUCUUAAACAAUUAAUUUAAAAUGUGAAAUAAUUUACCAGAUUUUACAGUAAAUAUUGAAUUUACAUAUUUGUUAAUGGAAAAUCUUAAAUAUGUUUACAAUCUAAAAUUAAUUUUAUUUUUUAUGUAAUUUAUAUUAUAUAUAGUUUUGUAUAUAAUAAUAUAUAUAAUACAAAAGUAAAAAAAAAUGCUAACCAUUAAUUUUAUCUUGUUUUAUUAUCUAUAAAAUAUGCGAAGGAAAGUUUUUAAAUCUUUGUUUUCUUGAAAAAAAUAUUUUCUUAAAUAGACAAAAUAGUUUAUGACACAAAUCCGAGCAUUGAUGACACAAUUUCUUUAAAUACAUAUUUGUGUACAAUUAUUGUUAAGUAUGAUUUGUUUGGUUAUUGAUGUAAGUUAGUUUUUUUGUUUAAUUUUUUUAGCUAAAAUAAAUUAAUAAAAUAAAAUAAAUCAUUAACCAAUCAAAUUAAAAUAAUUAACUAGAGAGAUUUCUUAUGAUUAAUACAUCAACAAAAAUCAGUUAAGUGGCUUCUUACUUAAUAUUAUCUAUAACAUACUCAAAUAACAAAAACUGUUAGCUACUAAUUUAUUUCCAGUUAUCUAUAACAUACAAAGGAAUUAAAAAAAAACCUUAAACAUAAUAUUUUUAAAUAUGUAUUAAUUUAUUUAUCAGUUUUUACAAACGAUAUAGUUUUGUACUGGUUUGAUGAUGAAAAAGUAAUUUAAUUUUUUUAAAAUCUAAUAUUAUUUUAACAUUUAAUUUCAAAUGAAAUUAUAUAUACAUGUUUUGUAUAUCAUUAUAUAUAUAAUAUGCAACUAAUGAAUAUUAUUAGUUGUAUUUUAUUUUUAUUUAUCGUUAUAAGAUACAAGGAAAUUUUCAAAUCUCUAUUUUCUUAAACAAUUAAUUUAAAUGUGAAUUUACUUACCAGAUUUUAUAGUAAAUUUAAUUACAGAUUUGUUAAUGUAAAAUCUUAAGUCAGUUUACUAUCUAAAAUUUCAUUUAUUUUUUACUUCAGAUUAUAUUAUAUAUAUAUAUAUAUAUAUAAAAUCUGUAUAAUACAUAUGUAAUAAAAUUACUAACCACUAAUUGUAUCUUUUUAUUAUCUAUAAAAUAUGCAAAGGAAAGUUUGUAAAUCUCUGUUUUUUUUUGAAAAUUUUAUUUUCUUAAAUGGACAAAAUAAUUUAUGACACAAAUCUAAGCAUUGUUGACUCAAUUUCUUUAUAUACAUAUUUGUGAUACCAUUAUUGUUAAGUAUUAUUUAUUUGGUUAUUGAUGUAAGUUAGUUUUUGAUUUAAUUUUUAACUAAUCUAAAUAAAUAAAUAAAAUCUUUAAGUAAUCAACUUAAAAUAAUUAAUUAGGGAGCUUUCCUAUGAUUGAUACAUCAGCAGAAAUCACGUAAGUGACUUCUCAAUUAACAUUAUCUAUAAGAUACUCAAAUAACAGAAACAAUAACCGAUUUAUGAAGAUUGCUAAUUUUGAUAAAAAGUAGAGUACGACAUUGGAAAAAUAUGAAAGUAAAAUUUCUGAAAAAAACAUUUGUUCUUGGGAAUUUGUUGGCCUUUCUGUUAAUAAAAUGUUUUCAGUUAACUACUUAAAUGACAAGAAUAAAAGUCAUUACGGAUUUAUAGUAUAUAUUAACAUAAAACGGUUAAAUAAACAGUGUUUCAAAAUAGAAAAAAAACAUGACCAUAAUACUUAUUUCAAAUACAGUACUUUUAAAGACUUUCUAUUCAUUAACGGGUUACGCUUACAUCAAUCAAUAAAUUAUAUAAUACUGAUCAGGAACAAGAUACACCCGCGAGUCGACUCGGUGAGAAUCGCUCUGACACGGUUUUUCUAUCAAGCGAGUUGAUCUCUGAGCCACCCAAUUCUAUUGACUCUCUUGACUCGGGAAUCGUCGUGAGGGAUCCCGUCUUGUCGAAAACGACGUAGUAUUUAUCCAUAUCUACGCCGUGACAUGCCUUAAGGGGAGUGUUUGACUGUUUCUGUCUGAAGAUUGA